CGAGCUGUUGCUCGCUGAGGCUCACAAGUUUCCCAGUUGCCAAAAAGUUAGCUCCUUCCAAGGCUCCUGUUGUACUAAAAGACCAGCAUGAUCCGCAUGAACCCUAAUCACAAAACAUAUAAUAAAUUCAUAUAUCAUUCAUAAAACUAAAACUUAUAAUUAAAAAAAAAACAGAAGUAGAAACCUGAUUUUUGACGGGUGUAACAGCUCCUUUUUCCCUCCAGUCAAAAUCUUGAGGCAAAUUAUCGGUAGGCAAAAUCGGAGCCUCAGUUGCAUCUUUAGGCAAUCUCAAUCUCCUUAAUCCCAAAUAUGCCUUUCUGAACUCGCCUGGAGUCAAAUCGGAGAACUGAGUCACCCCGUGAGUCGCCGACGGGUCAAGAUUCUGAUGACGCGCCGCUCGUCUCAGGUUAACCUGAAAAAUCUUGAAC
rnacentral:lncRNA from 1 species